rnacentral:rRNA from 1 species
CAAUAGCGUAUAUUAAAGUUGUUGCGGUUAAAAAGCUCGUAGUUGGAUUUCUGUUGAAGACGGCCGGUCCGCUCUAUGAGCGUGUAUCUGGUUCGGCUUUGGCAUCCUCGUGGGGAACGUAACUGUGCUUGAUUGCAUGGUGCGGUAUUCACGACUUUUACUUUGAGGAAAUUAGAGUGUUCACGGCAGGCAAGCGCCUUGAAUAUAUUAGCAUGGAAUAAUAAUAUAGGACUUGGUUCUAUUUUGUUGGUUUCUAGAACUAAAGUAAUGAUUAAUAGGGAUAAUUAGGGGGCGAUUUGUAUUUAACGCGUCAGAGGUGGAAUUCUUGGAUUGCGUUUACGACAAACUAACUUGCGAAAGACAUUUGUCCAAGGAAGUGUUUUCUAUUGAUCAAGAACGAAAGUAAUGGGGGAUCGAAGACGAUCAGAUACCAU